rnacentral:rRNA from 1 species
GACGAACGCUGGCGGUGUGCUUCACACAUGCAAGUCGAACGAGGUAGCAAUACCUAGUGGCGGACGGGUGAGUAACGCGUGGGAAUCUGCCUUUAGAUGGGGGAUAACGGGUCGAAAGACUCGCUAAUACCGCAUAUGACGAAAGUUGAAAGGAGUAAUCCGUCUAAAGAUGAGCCCGCGUCCGAUUAGCUAGUUGGUAGAGUAAAAGCCUACCAAGGCGACGAUCGGUAGCUGGUCUGAGAGGAUGAUCAGCCACAAUGGGACUGAGACACGGCCCAUACUCCUACGGGAGGCGAGCAGGU